CAGAAGAAGCACCGGCUAACUCCGUGCCAGCAGCCGCGGUAAUACGGAGGGUGCAAGCGUUAAUCGGAAUAACUGGGCGUAAAGGGCAUGCAGGCGGUUCAUCAAGUAGGAUGUGAAAUCCCCGGGCUCAACCUGGGAACAGCAUACUAAACUGGUGGACUAGAGUAUUGCAGGGGGAGACGGAAUUCCAGGUGUAGCGGUGGAAUGCGUAGAUAUCUGGAAGAACACCAAAGGCGAAGGCAGUCUCCUGGGCAAAUACUGACGCUCAUAUGCGAAAGCGUGGGUAGCAAACAGGAUUAGAUACCC
rnacentral:rRNA from 1 species